rnacentral:rRNA from 1 species
GACGAACGCUUGCUGCGUGCCUAAUACAUGCACGUAGGACGCAGUUGCGAACGGGUGAUUAACGCGUAGGUACCUACCUAUUAGCGGGGGCUAACUAUUGGAAACGAUAGCUACUACCGCCUACUAGUAGAUGGCCCUGCGUUGUAUUAGCUAGUAGGUAGGGUAAUGGCCUACCUAGGCAACGAUACAUAGCCGACCUGAGAGGGUGAUCGGCCACACUGGGACUGAGACACGGCCCAGACUCGUACGGGAGGCAGCAGUAGGGAAUCUUCGGCAAUGGGGGGAACCCUGACCGAGCAACGCCGCGGGAGUGAAGAAGGUUGUCGGAUCGUAAAGCUCUGUUGUUAAGGAAGCGGUACUUAACCAGAAAGGGACGGCUAACUACGUGCCAGCAGCCGCGGUAAUUC